UACGUAGGGGGCUAGCGUUGUCCGGAAUCAUUGGGCGUAAAGCGCACGUAGGCGGAUUGCUAAGUCAGGGGUGAAAUCCUGGAGCUCAACUCCAGAACUGCCUUGAUACUGGCGACCUUGAGUCCGGGAGAGGUGAGUGGAACUGCGAGUGUAGAGGUGAAAUUCGUAGAUAUUCGCAAGAACACCAGUGGCGAAGGCGGCUCACUGGCCCGGGUACUGACGCUGAGGUGCGAAAGCGUGGGGAGCAAACAGG
rnacentral:rRNA from 1 species